rnacentral:rRNA from 1 species
AAACUUUUAACUAAGCGUACACGGUGAAUACCCACAGCGAUGGAAGACGUGAGGCGUGCUAAUCUACGAUAAGCGCCGGUAGGUGAUAUGAACCGUUAUAACCGGCGAUACCCGAAUGAAGCAGUGUGACUCGUCACACUAUCAUUAACUAAUCCAUAGGUUAAUGAGGCGAACCGGGGAACUGAAACAUCUAAGUACCCCGAGGAAAAGAAAUCAACCGAGAUUCCCCAGUAGCGGCUUGAGCGAACGGGGAGAGCAGGAAGCCUGAAUCAGCAUGUGUGUUAGUGGAAGCGUCUGGAAAGGCGCGCGAUACAGGGUGACAGCCCGUACGCAAAAGCGCAUGUGCUGUGAGCUCGAUAGUAGGGCGGAACACGUGGUAUCCUGUCACGAAUAUGGGACCAUCCUCCAGGCUAAAUACUCCUGACGACCGAUAGUGAACCAGUACCGUGAGGGAAAGGCGAAAGAACGGCGAGGGGUGAAAAAGAACCUGAAACCGUGUACGUACCAAGCAGUGGGAGCACAGGUUUACCUGUGUGACUGCAUUUACUGGCCAUGCGAAAAGCAUAUAUAUUGCUGCUUGUAGGUUAACUUAAGCCUUAGAGCGGAGGAAACCGAGAAUGUAGUAGGCGUUAAGUUGCAGGGUAUGGGCGAAGCAGUGAUCUAACCAUGGGCAGGUUGAGGGUUAGGUAACACUAACUGGAGGACCGAACCGACUAUGUUGAAAAAUUAGCAGAUGACAGCCUGUGGCUGGGGUGAAAAGCCAGCAGUAAACCGGGAGAUAGCUGAGUUCUCACAGCUAUUUAGAGUAGCGCCUCGUAAUUCAUCUCCGGGGGUAGAGCACUGUUUCGGCUAGGGGCCAUCCCGGCUUACCAACCCGAUGCAAGCUGCGAAUACCGGAGAGUGUUAUGCACGGGAGCACACGGCGAUUGCUAACGUCCGUCGUGAAAAGAGGAAGCAACCCGAACCGCCAGCUAAGGUCCCAAAGUCAUGGUUAAGUGGGAAACGAUGUGGAAGGCGAACAGCGAGAUGGCAAAGCAGCCAUCAUUUAAAGAAAGCGUAAUAGCUCACUGGUCGAGUCGGCCUGCGCGGAAGAUGUAACGAGGCUAAACCAUGCACCGAAAGCUGCGGCAGCGACACUGUGUGUUGUUGGGUGGGGCGUUCUGUAAGCCUGUGAAGGUGUGUCGUGAGGCAUGCUGGAGGUAUCAGAAGUACGAAUGCUGACAUAAGUAACGAUAAAGCGGGUGAAAAAGCCGCUCGCCGGAAAGACAAAAAGGGUUCCUGUCCAACGUUAUCAGGGCAGGGUGAGUCACGACCUAAGGCAGCGAAUAGCCGAAAGGCGUAGUCGAUGGGAAACGGGUUAAUAUUCCCACGUACUUGGUGUUACUGCGAAGGGACGGAGAAGGCUAUGUUGGCCGGGCGACGGUUGUCCAGUUUAAGCGUGUAGGUGUGUGUUCGAGGUAAAUCGGUUCACUUUAGCACUGAGGCGUGAUGACGAGGCACUACGGUGUAAAGCAACAAAUGCUGCUUCCGAGAGAAAACACUCUAAGCAUCAGGUAACAUCAAAUCAUUUUACCCCAAACCGGCACAGGUGGUCGGGUAGAGAAUACCAAGGCGCUUGAGAACUCGAGGUGAAGGAACCCAGGCAAAAAAUGGUGCCGUAGCUUCGGGAGAGAAGGCACGCUGACACGUAGGUGAAGUGAUUUACUCACGGAGCUGAAGUCAGUCGAAGGCUACCAAUGGCUGCAACUGUUUAUUAAAAACACAGCACUGUGCAACGAAACACGAAAGUGGACGUAUACGGUGUGACGCGCCUGCCCGGUGCCGGAAGGUUAGUGAUGGGGUCGCGCAAGCGAAACUCCUGAUCGAAGCGGUAAACGGCGGCCGUAACUAUAACAGUCUAAGGUAGCGAAAUUCCUUGUCGGGUAAGUUCCGACCUGCACGAAUGGCGUAAUAUGGCGGGGGCUGUCUCCGCGAGACUCAGUGAAAUUGAGCUUUCGCUGUGAAGAUGCAGUGUACCCGCGGCAAGACGGAAAGACUUAAAUGACCUUUACUAUAGCUUGACACUGAACAUUGACGCUUGAUGUGUAGGAUAGGUGGGGAAGCUUUGAAAUUGUGGACGCCAGUCUGCAUGGAGCCGACCUUGAAAUACCACCCUUUAAUGUUUGAUGUUCUAACGUGGACCCGUUACACCCGGGUUGCGUUUAGUGUCACAAUUGGGUAGUUUGCGACGGGGCGGUCUCUCCUCCUAAAGUAACGGAGGAGCACGAAGGUUAGUAAUCUGGUCGGACAUCAGGAGGUUAGUGCAAUGGCAUAAGCCAGCGACUGCGAGCGUGACGGCGCGAGCAGGUGCUGGAGUCAUAGUGAUCCGGUGGUUCUGAAUGGAAGGGCCAUCGCUCAACGGAUAAAGGUACUCCGGGAUAACAGGCUGAUACCGCCAAAGUUCAUAUCGACGGCGGUGUUUGGCACCUCGAUGUCGGCUCAUCACAUCGCAGGGGCUGAAGUAGGUCCCAAGGGUAUGGCUGUUCCGCCAUUUAAAGUGGUACGCGAGCUGGGUUUUAGAACGUCGUGAGACAGCAGUUCGGUCCCCUAUCUGCCGUGGGCGCUGGAGAACUGAGGGGGCUGCUCUAGUGAGAGGACCGGAGUGGACGCAUCACUGGUGUUCGGGUUGUCAUGCCAAUAUGGCACUGCCCGGUAGCUAAAUGCGGAAGAGAUAAGUGCUGAAAGCAUCUAAGCGCAAGAAACUUGCCCGAGAUGAGUUCUCCCUGAGGACUUAGAGUCUCCUGAAGGAACGUUGAAGACGACGCGACGUUGAUAGGCCGGGUGUGUAAGCGCAGCGAUGCGUUAGUAACCGGUACUAAUGAACCGCGUGAGGCUUAA